AUUUUUUUUUCUUUUAAUACUAUGUAAUUUAAAAUAUAUCAAUUUGAUAUUCUAUGAUUUUAUUUUUUUUCUUUCUGUUUAGUUUUACCGUUAACAUUUCGUUAAAUUAUAUAUAAAAAACUUCAGAUACUAUGCCUAAAUUUAUUAAAUAUUUAUUCUAAUACCUUUUAGUUUUAAAUUUGUUACUGAUUUAACGAAAAGAAAGUAAAAAAAUAGUAUAAAGAAAAAAAUUAAACUAUAAAAUACUAAAUUAAUACACCUUAAAUUAUAGGAUACUAAAAUAAAAAAAGAAAAAACUUCAAAUACCCUCCUGUGGUUUCACAUUUUUUCACUUUGGUACCUUAUGAUUUAAAGUGUAUCAAGUUAGUACUCUGUGGUUUCAUUUUUGUAUCAAGUUAGUAUCUUGUGGUUUCAUUUUUUUCUUUUUAUUAUUCAUCUCGGGAUAUUUUUUUCAUUAAAUCAGUGACAAAGUUAAAAGUAAAAGAUACUAAAAUGAAUAUUUGAUAAAUCUAGAUAGAGUAUCUAAAUUUUUUUUUGUAUAUAAUUUAACGAAAUAUUAAACCACAGAAUACUAGAGUGAGAAGGUGCGAAACCACAGGGUACUAACCUGAUAUACUUUAAACUACAUGGUACUAAAGUGAGAAAGUGCAAAACUACAGAGUACUAAUUUGAUACACUUUAAAUCAAAUGAUACUAAAGUGAGAAAGUACGAAACCAAAAGGGGGUAAUUGAAGUUUUU
rnacentral:lncRNA from 1 species